rnacentral:rRNA from 1 species
UACAGAGGGGGCAAGCGUUAUUCGGAAUUAUUGGGCGUAAAGGGCGCGUAGGCGGUCUCUCAAGUGGAUGGUGAAAUCCCCGGGCUUAACCUGGGAACUGCCGUCCAAACUGAGCGACUUGAGUCCGGGAGAGGUAAGUGGAAUUCCCAGUGUAGCGGUGAAAUGCGUAGAUAUUGGGAGGAACGCCAGUGGCGAAGGCGGCUCACUGGACCGGUACUGACGCUGAUGCGCGAAAGCGUGGGGAGCAAACGGG